GGCGGUCGCUUGCGACCGCCGAUGGCGACCGGCGAAUGGGUGAGUAACGCGUAUCCAACCUGCCCCGCGCCCGGGGAUAGCCCUUGGAAAUGAGGAUUAAGACCCGAUAUGUGCCCUGGCCGCAUGGCCGGGACAUGAAGCAGACGCGGGAUGGGGAUGCGUUGGAUUAGCCAGCCGGCAGGGCAGCGGCCUACCGGGGCGACGAUCCAUAGGGGUUCUGAGAGGAAGGUCCCCCACACUGGCACUGAGACACGGGCCAGACUCCUACGGGAGGCAGCAGUGAGGAAUAUUGGUCAAUGGGCGAGAGCCUGAACCAGCCAAGUAGCGUGCAGGAUGACGGCCCUACGGGUUGUAAACUGCUUUUGCGGGAGAAUAACCGGCGCCACGCGUGGCGCCCUGCAGGUAUCCCGUGAAUAAGGACCGGCUAAUUCCGUGCCAGCAGCCGCGGUAAUACGGAAGGUCCGGGCGUUAUCCGGAUUUAUUGGGUUUAAAGGGAGCGCAGGCGGAGGAUCAAGCCAGCCGUGAAAUGGCGGCGCUCAACGCCGUCCGGCGGUUGGAACUGGUCCCCUUGAUUGCGGGAGAGGAAGGCGGAACUCGUGGUGUAGCGGUGAAAUGCAUAGAUAUCACGAAGAACCCCGAUUGCGAAGGCAGCCUUCCGGCCCGUAAAUGACGCUCAUGCUCGAAGGCGCGGGUAUCAAACAGGAUUAGAUACCCUGGUAGUCCGCGCGGUAAACGAUGAAUGCUCGGGAUUCGGGCUUUAUGUCUGAGUCCCCCAGCGAAAGCGUUAAGCAUUCCACCUGGGGAGUACGCCGGCAACGGUGAAACUCAAAGGAAUUGACGGGGGCCCGCACAAGCGGAGGAACAUGUGGUUUAAUUCGAUGAUACGCGAGGAACCUUACCCGGGCUUGAAAUGUGCCUGGCGGCCAGCAGAGACGCUGGCCUCCUUCGGGCAGGCAUGUAGGUGCUGCAUGGUUGUCGUCAGCUCG
rnacentral:rRNA from 1 species